CUCCGCCUCCCGUCGCCCUCCGCCCGGCUGGGAGCCUGCGGUUGGUGGCCCACGCCGCUGUCGCCGCCUCGUGUUGCGGGUCAGUUUCUGGCUCUCCGCCUUCUUUGGUGCGCGGCCCCCCAGCGCGCACACGCAUAGUCUGGAGUGUCAGUGAUUGAAGGAAAAUCUCUUCAUGUGGCCAUGGAUGAUGCAUCUAGCCAUGAAACACAAGAAAGAGCAGGUAACUCUGGAAUCUCUUCCAACAUGACCAGGACAUCAACUCAGUCACAUUAAUGAAGAAACACUGCUGAAUAAGAAGAAUCAUACCCAAAUUUGAGUGUCAGCUUUAAUGGAAGACCACCAAAAAUACAACUCUGCUUUGAGUGUCACAUAUUAAAAUUUAUCUUGAGCUGGGUGUGGUGGUGCAUGCCUGUAAUUCUACCACUUGGAGGCUGAGGCAAGAGGAUGACUGGUAAAUUCGAGGCUGGCUUGGGCUAUGUAGUGAGU